GUGGUUGUGGCUCAGUGGUAGAGCCUCAUACAUGGAAGGCCCUGGGUUCGAUCCUUAGCACCACA
rnacentral:tRNA from 1 species